rnacentral:rRNA from 1 species
CUACGGGGGGCAGCAGCAAGGAAUAUUGUACAAUGGGGGAAACCCUGAUACAGCAACGCCGCGUGAAGGAAGAAGGCCUUCGGGUUGUAAACUUCUGUUUUAGAGGACGAAUAAAGUGACGGUACUCUUAGAGGAAGCCCCGGCAAACUACGUGCCAGCAGCCGCGGUAACACGUAGGGGGCAAGCGUUGUCCGGAAUCACUGGGCGUAAAGGGCGCGUAGGCGGUUUAUUAAGUUGCAUGUGAAAUCCCAGGGCUCAACUCUGGACCUGCAUGCAAAACUGGUAGACUUGAGUAUGGUAGAGGCAAGUGGAAUUCCUAGUGUAGCGGUGGUAUGCGUAGAUAUUAGGAGGAACACCAGUGGCGAAGGCGACUUGCUGGGCCAAAACUGACGCUGAGGCGCGAAAGCGUGGGGAGCAAACAGGAUUAGAUACCCUUGUAGUC